rnacentral:rRNA from 1 species
UACGGAGGGCGCAAGCGUUGUUCGGAAUCACUGGGCGUAAAGCGCGUGUAGGCGGCUUGGCAAGUCGGGUGUGAAAUCCCGAGGCUCAACCUCGGAACUGCACUCGAAACUGCCUGGCUCGAGUCCCGGAGAGGGUGGCGGAAUUCCCGGUGUAGGGGUGAAAUCCGUAGAUAUCGGGAGGAACACCAGUGGCGAAGGCGGCCACCUGGACGGUGACUGACGCUGAGAAGCGAAAGCGUGGGGAGCAAACAGG